AACGAACGCUGGCGGCAUGCCUAACACAUGCAAGUCGAACGAGACCUUCGGGUCUAGUGGCGCACGGGUGCGUAACGCGUGGGAACCUGCCCUUAGGUUCGGAAUAACUCCCCGACAGGGGUGCUAAUACCGGAUAAUGUCUUCGGACCAAAGAUUUAUCGCCUUUGGAUGGGCCCGCGUUGGAUUAGCUAGUUGGUAGGGUAAAAGCCGACCAAGGCGGCGAUCCAUAGCUGGUCUGAGAGGAUGAUCAGCAACACUGGGACUGAGACACGGCCCAGACUCCUGCGGGAGGCAGCAGUGGGGAAUAUUGGACACUGGGCGAAAGCCUGAUCCAGCAAUGCCGCGUGAGUGAUGAAGGCCUUAGGGUUGUAAAGCUCUUUUACCCGGGAUGAUAAUGACAGUACCGGGAGAAUAAGCUCCGGCUACCUCCGU
rnacentral:rRNA from 1 species